CACGUAGGGCGCAAGCGUUGUCCGGAAUUAUUGGGCGUAAAGAGCUCGUAGGCGGUCUGUUGCGUCCGCUGUGAAAACUCGGGGCUUAACCCCGAGCCUGCAGUGGAUACGGGCAGACUAGAGGUAGGUAGGGGAGAAUGGAAUUCCCGGUGUAGCGGUGAAAUGCGUAGAUAUCGAGAGGAACACCUGUGGCGAAGGCGGCCAACUGGACGAGUACUGACACUGAGACACGAAAGCGUGGGGAGCAAACAGG
rnacentral:rRNA from 1 species